rnacentral:misc_RNA from 1 species
CCGAGUCUUCGCACUCAAAUAACCCUUCUGUGGACCUAAAUAAAACCGUUGCCUCGGCGGGCGGCCCCCACCUGUGGGCCGGACAGCCCGGUCGCCUCCAGGCGCCGGCGCCAGCCGCUGGCCCAAAAUAAAAACUCUAGUAACCUUUACCUUCUGAGUUUUAACGCAAAUAAAGUCA